rnacentral:rRNA from 1 species
UACGUAGGUGGCAAGCGUUGUCCGGAUUUACUGGGCGUAAAGGAUGCGUAGGCGGACAUUUAAGUCAGAUGUGAAAUACCCGAGCUUAACUUGGGUGCUGCAUUUGAAACUGGGUGUCUAGAGUGCAGGAGAGGUAAGUGGAAUUCCUAGUGUAGCGGUGAAAUGCGUAGAGAUUAGGAAGAACACCAGUGGCGAAGGCGGCUCACUGGACCGGUACUGACGCUGAUGCGCGAAAGCGUGGGGAGCAAACGGG